UGUCCAGGAUGAAGCUGCCGUAAAAGGCAGUGGAGGACCGAACGCACAUCCGUUGAAAAGGGUGGCGAUGAGGUGUGGGUAGGGGAGAAAUUCCAAUCGAACCCGGAGAUAGCUGGUUCUCCCCGAAAUAGCUUUAGGGCUAGCGUUUAAGGGAAAGUUAUGGAGGUAGAGCACUGAAUGGUAGAUGGUCCCACCUCGGGAUACUGAUACCAAUCAAACUCCGAAUGCCAUAACUAGGGCUUAAGCAGUCAGACUUGUGGGCGAGAAAGU
rnacentral:rRNA from 1 species